CUCAACCCUUCCGGCAAUGCAACUGGCCCAUCCUCCCAACGUCGUCGACGAAGAAGGCCUGCAACCAACGACGACAUCAUGGAUGCUAUUGAUGGUAUGCAGGCACAGAAUGUCGAGAUGAUGCAGAUGAUGCGUCAAAUGCAACAACAACAGGAUGCUAGGAAUGCCAUAACCGACCAGCGGUUUACUGAGUUGUUCAGCAGGUUCGACAACUUAGACUUACGUCAGAGAUCACCAGGUCCAAGAACCAGAGGCGGAAGACAACCUUAGUUGUAGUUUCUUUUUCCUUUCCAUAUUGUAUUUCAUUUCCUUAAAACAUUGGGGACAAUGUUUAGUUUAAGUAUGGGGGGGAAACCAUGUUCUUUCUAUUUUCAUUUUUCAAGUAUGUACCUUUCCCUCCAUUGUUAUUUUAAUUACUAUAUAAAAAAAAAAUAUCUAUUAUUUUAAGUUAAG
rnacentral:lncRNA from 1 species